rnacentral:lncRNA from 1 species
UCGUGCUCUACAAAGAUUUAAGUGAAGCACUAGAGAAAAAUUAUCUAGCUCAAAAUAUAUAAGUGAAGCACAUGCGAGCUAAAUUGUCUAGCUCAAAAGAUAUAAGUGAAGCACAUGUGAGCUCAGUUGUCUAGCUCAAAAGAUAUAAGUGAAGCACAUGGGAGCUAAAUUGCCUAACUCAAAAGAUAUAAGUGAAGCUCAUUGGGUAUUCUAACAAAUUCACGAUGAGUGCAUGUCCCUCUCAAAAGGUGUGUAGCAA